ACCCUCUCAGGGUCACACCUGCAGAGUUUCCAGGACUCAACCAGUCUCGACUACGGGAGGGAGAGUCAAGCAGAGACACAUCCAUUCCAUUCCUAGCUUGGCCAGUGGCUAGCAAGUGGAAGGCAAUCUGCUACAAGU